rnacentral:rRNA from 1 species
UACAGAGGUCUCAAGCGUUGUUCGGAAUCACUGGGCGUAAAGCGCACGUAGGCGGAUCUUUAAGUCAGGGGUGAAAUCCUGGAGCUCAACUCCAGAACUGCCUUUGAUACUGGGGAUCUCGAGUCCGGAAGAGGUGAGUGGAACUCCGAGUGUAGAGGUGAAAUUCGUAGAUAUUCGGAAGAACACCAGUGGCGAAGGCGGCUCACUGGUCCGGUACUGACGCUGAGGUGCGAAAGCGUGGGGAGCAAACAGG